UACGUAGGUGGCAAGCGUUAUCCGGAUUUAUUGGGCGUAAAGGGCUCGCAGGCGGUUCCUUAAGUCUGAUGUGAAAGCCCCCGGCUCAACCGGGGAGGGUCAUUGGAAACUGGGGAACUUGAGUGCAGAAGAGGAGAGUGGAAUUCCACGUGUAGCGGUGGAAUGCGUAGAUAUAUGGAAGAACACCAGUGGCGAAGGCGGCUACCUGGUCUGCAACUGACGCUGAGGAGCGAAAGCGUGGGGAGCGA
rnacentral:rRNA from 1 species